rnacentral:lncRNA from 1 species
UAGGAGUUGCGUCCAACAUCAUUUUUGCAAAGAAUUCCAAACACUGGUCAGGAACAUCCAAUUGGACUUGGCGGCCAAUAAUCUCACACACAUCGAUAAUUUUGAGUCUGACGACCCUUCAAACAACGGCGUAUUCAUUUCUUGCAACAAUUGAUAAAAAUUUUGAGCUUCCUCAUUCGGCAACUCUUCCUGAUCGAAGUCUUGAGGUUCAUCAUAGGUCACGUUAACCCCAAAAGCAUCGCCAACCAUGUCACUGAUCAAACUAAAUUCUUCCCGGUGUUCCAUAUGUGAUCGACUGCUAGAAGCAUGUGUAGUCGUAGUCCUUUGUACAUUACUCGGCAACUGUUCUCCAUUAUAUGUCCAAACCCAGUAAUUUUUAAUGAAACCCCUUUUCUUCAAAUGACGUUCUACUUCUCCGGGUCACUAAUUAUAGGUCUACAUUCACAUUUUAGACAAGGACAUCUUACUCCUCCUUCGCUUAGACAACAUUCUUGAGCGAAAGCCCAUGUGAUAAACCCUUUAACUCCUUCCUCAAAGUUCGGUUUAAGUCCACGUCUUCCUGGAUACGUUCUAUCGUACAUCCAACUACGAUAGUAUGAAAAUAUUCCAUACUGCACAUUUACAAAAUCGUUACUAUUUUAAUUUCAAAAGUGAUAUUCCUCUAUCGUCCAAUUUAAAAAUCGUUCUAUCGUACAUCCAACUAAUUAUUACGUACAAUUUAAAAAAAUAUAUUAUACUA